rnacentral:lncRNA from 1 species
GGAAUGAGAGAUCGGAUGACCGGAUCGCCUCGAUGUACCUAUACCUGCGGAUGCUGGGAGGUUUUCUCGAUGGGGAAUGAGGGAUCGGAUGAUCGGAUCGGAAAUAUAGAAUUGUCUUGUGAUUAGCUACAGCAAAAUCAGGUCGAUCUAAUCCCAAUAUGAUGAACGACUCAUCCGGUUAGGUUGGAGGGUGUGGGCGGCUGGGCACUUGCGAGGAAAUCCUUCAUGCUCUCGGGGAAGAUGACGUCGGGGCGGGAUGCCAUCAAGCUUACUAGGAGGAUCUCACGAUCACCCAUACCUCACAUGCCAACUAUCGGAUUCAUUAGCCCGACAAUUUACCAGGAGGUUACCCAAGUGGUAGAUUUGUAGGUAGGGAGGAUCGCGAGACCAAGAACUCGAAGGUGAUCACGAGAACACAAAGGUUUAGACAGGUUCAGACCUCCGAAGAUUAAUACCCCACAUCUUGUGUUUUGCUAGAUUGUAUUGCUUUGCGUGGGCGCGAAGUACAGAUUGAAU